rnacentral:rRNA from 1 species
UACGUAGGGAGCAAGCGUUGUUCGGAUUUACUGGGCGUAAAGGGCGCGUAGGCGGCAAUUUAAGUCAUCUGUGAAAUCUCCGGGCUUAACUCGGAACGGUCAGAUGAUACUACUUUGCUAGAGUGCAGAAGGGGCAAUCGGAAUUCUUGGUGUAGCGGUGAAAUGCGUAGAUAUCAAGAGGAACACCUGAGGUGAAGACGGGUUGCUGGGCUGACACUGACGCUGAGGCGCGAAAGCUAGGGUAGCAAACGGG